GACGAACGCUGGCGGCGUGCCUAAUACAUGCAAGUCGAACGAGAGCGCCCGGUGCUUGCACUGGUCAAUCUAGUGGCGAACGGGUGAGUAACACGUGGGUAACCUGCCCAUCAGAGGGGGAUAACAUUCGGAAACGGAUGCUAAAACCGCAUAGGUCUUCGAACCGCAUGGUUUGAAGAGGAAAAGAGGCGCAAGCUUCUGCUGAUGGAUGGACCCGCGGUGCAUUAGCUAGUUGGUGAGGUAACGGCUCACCAAGGCCGUGAUGCAUAGCCGACCUGAGAGGGUGAUCGGCCACAUUGGGACUGAGACACGGCCCAAACUCCUACGGGAGGCAGCAGUAGGGAAUCUUCCGCAAUGGACGCAAGUCUGACGGAGCAACGCCGCGUGAGUGAAGAAGGUGUUCGGAUCGUAAAACUCUGUUGUUAGAGAAGAAUAAGUGCUAGAGUAACUGUUAGCGCCUUGACGGUAUCUAACCAGAAAGCCACGGCUAACUACGUG
rnacentral:rRNA from 1 species